CAGUAUUCUCCUGUCAAUGGUGCGGUAGUUUACAGACCUUGAAAUCGCCUAACAUAGAUUGAUGAUCUCACAGACUGGGGUCUGAGAUUAGGAACAAUUAUUCCUACAAAGCAUCAUUUUAUGUAUUUUAACACAUGGCCAUAUGUCGAAUCAAACUCUUUGAUGGGUACUAUCUUAUGUUUAAAAUAAAUACCACCAACAGAAUCACACGCUAUUUUCCACAAUGUCGAAGAUUAUGAAAAUCUAAGUAGACAAAAAGGCAAAAGGGUAGGAUUGCCAGCAAGGUAAAACUCACACAUUCAAUGCACCAAGCAUGAGUGGUUUGAAUAAUUCAGG